AUAUUGUACUAACUUUAUAUAUACUAAAAUGAAAACAAUACAGAGAAGAUUAGUAUGGCCCCUGCGCAAGGAUGACACACAAAAUCGUGAAGUGUUCCAUAUUUUU